GACGAACGCUGGCGGCGUGCUUAACACAUGCAAGUCGAACGGACAGACAGAGAGCUUGCUCUCUUGAAGUUAGUGGCGAACGGGUGAGUAACGCGUAAUCAACCUGCCCUUCAGAGGGGGAUAACAACGGGAAACCGUUGCUAAUACCGCGUACGAUUCAUGAACGGCAUCGUUUAUGAAUGAAAGGUGGCCUCUAUGUAUAAGCUAUCGCUGAAGGAGGGGAUUGCGUCUGAUUAGCUAGUUGGAGGGGUAACGGCCCACCAAGGCAAUGAUCAGUAGCCGGUCGGGGAGGAUGAACGGCCACAUUGGGACUGAGACACGGCCCAAGCUCCUACGGGAGGCGGCAGUGGGGAAUCUUCCGCAAUGGACGAAAGUCUGACGGAGCAACGCCGCGUGAGUGAUGAAGGUCUUCGGAUUGUAAAGCUCUGUUAAUCGGGACGAAAGAGUUCUGCGUGAAUAAUGCAGAAAAGUGACGGUGCCGGAAUAGAAAGCCACGGCUAACUACGUGCCAGCCGCCGCCGUAA
rnacentral:rRNA from 1 species